CCUUUCAACAAGUUGUUUUUGAUUGUAGUCUGAAGAUUCCUUUGCCCCUUCCACCCUCCAAGGUUUCCAACACAAUGGCAGCCCGUCAUAACCACAACCACAAUAACACAAUCCCAACACAACAGUCACACUAACCAUUACAAAUGUGAAUCAUGGCAGUCAGAGGAUGUUUUCACUCGGAAACAGUACCGACUGCUGUGUGUUAGAAGAACUGCAACAGAGGAAGACAACCAAUCUAUAUACAGAGAGGAGUAAAGGGAGAAUCUUAGAGAGUGUUUUGGAGAGUGGUAGAGAAAGAAGGAAUUGGAGAGAAAAGAGGAUGAGGGGGAGAGGAAGAGAGGAAGAGAGAGAGUGAGGCUCACUGCCUGUUGACUCACUGAGCAGGAAUGACUUGACUGGUCAUGAUCUGUAUGACUGAGCAUUGCGCACGCUCUCUCUUUCUCACACACGCUCUCUCUCUCUCUCUCUCUUGCACUCUCUCACCACAGACACACUCACCCGCUGAGUGGAGAGCUCCAGGACAGGCUGCUCUUGCAGCACAGCCUCAGGGACUUAGAGGUACUCUGCUGGGGAAGAGAGACAGGCAGGGACCCCCCCCCCUGGAGCUCACUGGAACUUACUCUGUUUUUCUCUCCCUCUCUUUUUGUCUGUUCCCUCUCACUCACUCUCUCCCCUUUCUCUCCCAUUAUCUCUCUAUUUCCACUCUCUCCUUCCGUCUCUUUCCCUCUCUCUCCUUCCGUCUCUUUCCCUCUCUCUCCUUCCGUCUCUUUCCCUCUCUCCUCUCCUUCUCAGGACGGACACAGGAUGUGAAGAGAGCAGGUGGCUGACAGUCUCACAGCAGCAGAAAUGGGAGGCUGUGGAGGAUAUGACAAACAGCCCUCAUUCAGUCAGCAGACUAACUGGACAGCUCUACUGUACGCCACAGGGGACAGCAGAGAGGUCGCUGAGCUCUGAGAACAACAGUUAGUUGGGUGGGGUCCAAAGUGUGGAGGAUGAUGUCACACGUCAGCUGUCCUCAUAGCUGGGCUACCAUGGCAACGACAUUCAUCAGAAUGACUUCCUGCAAAAGCAAAGCACUGUCACGAUCACUUUCUGUACUGACAGAUCACUUUAUAAGGAUAAUUAUUGUGUUUGUGUAGGGUUAAGCAUUGAAAUGCUAUGCCAAAUGAGUGGACUGUCUUUGUAAAUCUACUUGUCAUCCAUGUCACAACUGCUGCACAGAGUUUCUAAAUAAGCAAAGUGUCCUCCAAAAUCUUUGCUGCUGCCACGCAACCACUGCAUCCCUAUUGUCCGGCAGGGAAAGUCUUCCCCCAGAGGCUGGUUUCACAUGGUGGUUUAGAUUAAUGUUCCCAGUGUCUAGCACCAUUUGAAAUCAGUGUUCUUGGGGACAGGAGAACAGCACUGGGCCUCUGGUAGUGUCAGUCAGUCUAUUGGAGCCAUCCUCUCUCUCUCUCUCCCCUUUAAAGGAUGACUGAUUUCCUCUGGUGUUUAGAGCCCCUUAAAGCCUUCUAGCACCAUUUGAAAUCGGUUAUAAUGACUGGGGAUCAAUGCCUCAAUGUCUUCACGAUGUCUACAUGUCAACUCUACAGUCAAGCAGACAAAUGAAUUGGAUGAAUGUUCAUAUUAUACGUGUCACAGGGUCUGCUCUACAGAUCCUGGAAUCGCAAUGAGUUGGACAGGAGCUCAAUUCCAGUGGGACAGUUUAAAAGUUUUUAUUGAAUAAAUGUUCAAUUAAACUGAAUUGAUAUUGCAUACUUA